GACGAACGCUGGCGGCGUGGAUUAGGCAUGCAAGUCGAACGGUAUCAUCCUUUCGGGGGUGAGAGAGUGGCGAACUGGUGAGUAACACGUAGGUUAUCUACCCUCAAGACGGGGACAACCCAGGGAAACUUGGGCUAAUACCGGAUGUGAGCAACUUUUAGUGUUUGAAAGGUGGCGUAAGCUGCCGUUUGGGGAUGAGCCUGCGCUCUAUUAGUUAGUUGGCGGGGUAAAGGCCCACCAAGGCGAUGAUAGAUAGGCGGCCUUAACGGGUGGUCGCCCACACUGGGAUUGAGAUACGGCCCAGACUCCUACGGGAGGCAGCAGUCGAGAAUAGUCUACAAUGGCCGAAAGGCUGAUAGUGCGACGCCGCGUGAACGAAGAAGCCCUUCGGGGUGUAAAGUUCUUUUAUAUGUGAGCAGUGCUUUCUAUGUGAACAGCAUGGGGAGAGAGAUAUUAGCAUAUGAAUAAGCAACGGCUAAACUCCGUGCCCAGCAGCCGCGGUAAAACGU
rnacentral:rRNA from 1 species